AUCAUGUUAAGCCAAUGAGAAGGAAAAACCAGCAUAAUCAAAAUUCCCUUGCCGUUACCCGUAUGGCUUCUGUCAUCUCGCUUCCCUCCUAGGCCAGCCAGCCGCCAGGAGGCAGAGCUGGAUUAGUCCCGCCCACCUGACCCGGAAGCUGAGCCUUUGGAGGUGACCGCCAAGGCUCCCUUUUGCCCCCAGCGAAGUGUCAUCAUCGAGGCAGCCGAGCCCCUGGGGGGAGGGCACUCUGCCCGUGUCAAGGACGUGCCAACGGGCUGGAGGCAGCCCUGGGGCUCCAGCGGAAAAGGGAGUUGACAUUCCAAGUGGGGAAGACAGUAGAUCGACAAAGUCAGGAGCUCACGGUUCCUGAGAUCGAGCCCCCCCCCUCCCGACCCCCCGCGGGGGAUUCUCUUCCUCUCUCUGUGCCCCUCACGCGUGUUUGUGUGAGUAUGCUUUUUCUCAAAAUAAACUUCAGUACUCGAUCUCAAGUAGCUAUCUCUCAGUGGGCUGUGGGGUUAUGAGGAAAUGCGACCUCAUCUACCUUUCUUUCCGCCUUUGUUUCCCAUAUCCUUGGUUAUCUGGGGGCAGGGAUGCAAACAGCGGCGGGGGGACAGCACGUGCAAAGGCCCUGAGGUAGGAGCCUGAAGCGUUCCACAUCCGGAAAGGAGCCGCGAAGCUGAAGAGCGGGGCUCACUCUUCGGCGAGAAGACUGAGGCCCAGACACGGCCUUGUAGCGACUUGUCCGAAAGUUGGCUUUCUCUUUCUCAUCUGGGAGAUGUCUCCCUGGUGCGCUGGGGCUGGCUCGUAACCAUCUGGGAGAGCUGAUUGCCAAACUUUCGGGAAUUUUGCAAGCCUGUCGUUAAACUUGGCCAGUUGCCGGAAAUGAAAUGAUGUGCACUCGCGAUGAAAUAAAUUACAUUAAA